AUUUCAGCAGCCAGCACGUCAUGAGGUGAGUUAUUCCACUGUUGCUUGAAUCUUUCAUCGUUCUUAAAACUUGGGAAAUUGCUCUAAAACAGGUGGCGAUCCAGGAAGGUGUGAUUUCUCGUAUGAGAAACAACACCGCGGGCUUCGUGAAGAUCAUUAUUUGGGUGUUACUGUUUCGCAGCCUCGAAAACUCUCGAAUUUUGCUUUCAUUCUUCGCAACUGUCCGAUUGUUAUAAAUUACAGGAAGUAGUGGUAAGUCCUGUCGGAAAAUUAGUAUUGUUAAAAAACAGAGUACGUGUAUAUUUGAAUACCACACGUGGUAAGUGGGACGAAGAGAUAAAUGAAUUUCAAUUUAUGCGAUUUGCGAUUGGAAAUCUUUCAGCCCGAACUGCCUUUGUUAGAAAGCAAAGAUGAAAGAUUUUAGAGCUCGAUCACCUUUAUGACUUAAUGUUUGACCAUUAGACGCAAUUGCAAGGCUCUCAGGAUAUCGAUUCCUGAACAGGAACGACAAGAAAUGUAAUGCAAUAUUGGAUGCUGUUUUGAAAUGCAGGACCUCAAUUAGUGUCACACGUUGUGCGUAUAAUAUAACUGUAAACAUUAUGCACAAAUUCCACUUCCAUGAAUCGACUAUGAAAAAAAAUUGUUUGAUUUUUCGAGAUAAACUGAGGGCGGUCAUUCGAGCUUUAAAUUUUCUCCGCACUAUUGUCGCUGCCUGCUAUUGACUGAGUAACGAGCUUUUCAGCGGACCAUAGUCGGCGAUCGACUGCCAAAUGCGUCGCUAUCCACUGAAAUGUUCGCAGAUAAAGUUUAUGUCUUCAAACGCAUUUUGGCGAGGGUUCAACUGUAAAUUUCCUUUACCUGUGAGACCUAUAAACAAAGAGAUGAGACACAUUCGCUACCAAUCGAAGUAUUGAAGACAAUUUACAGAUGGAUUUGUGCAGCCGUCAGAACUGUACUAGCAUUUGGAGGUGAAGAAGUUGCCAAGUAGGGAUAUACCAGGAGAAACACGUCGAUCGUGCUUGCCGAGGAGAAUUCCUUACAUUCGAAGACUGUCGACUCGAGGAAGUUUAGAAAACUAGCGAGGAAUCACUACCAAGAGCGCAAAAAUGAGUAAGUAACUUAAUUUUAGACGUAAAGUGUCCCGUCAACUGUUUCACACAUCUUAGAAAAAAUCAGAUCCAGUCAAAUUAUUUUCGAAGUAGUCCAUGAGAAUCCGCAUUAGUCGCCUUUCUUUCUUAUUUAACCGUUGUCAUUAAUUACUUUACACUGAGCGAUAUUUUGACAGGGGACUCAAGAUUGAGCGCCUAAC